rnacentral:rRNA from 1 species
ACGAACGCUGGCGGCGUGCCUAAUACAUGCAAGUCGAACGCUUCUUUUUCCACCGGAGCUUGCUCCACCGGAAAAAGAGGAGUGGCGAACGGGUGAGUAACACGUGGGUAACCUGCCCAUCAGAAGGGGAUAACACUUGGAAACAGGUGCUAAUACCGUAUAACAAUCGAAACCGCAUGGUUUUGAUUUGAAAGGCGCUUUCGGGUGUCGCUGAUGGAUGGACCCGCGGUGCAUUAGCUAGUUGGUGAGGUAACGGCUCACCAAGGCGACGAUGCAUAGCCGACCUGAGAGGGUGAUCGGCCACAUUGGGACUGAGACACGGCCCAAACUCCUACGGGAGGCAGCAGUAGGGAAUCUUCGGCAAUGGACGAAAGUCUGACCGAGCAACGCCGCGUGAGUGAAGAAGGUUUUCGGAUCGUAAAACUCUGUUGUUAGAGAAGAACAAGGAUGAGAGUAACUGUUCAUCCCUUGACGGUAUCUAACCAGAAAGCCACGGCUAACUACGUGCCAGCAGCCGCGGUAAUACGUAGGUGGCAAGCGUUGUCCGGAUUUAUUGGGCGUAAAGCGAGCGCAGGCGGUUUCUUAAGUCUGAUGUGAAAGCCCCCGGCUCAACCGGGGAGGGUCAUUGGAAACUGGGAGACUUGAGUGCAGAAGAGGAGAGUGGAAUUCCAUGUGUAGCGGUGAAAUGCGUAGAUAUAUGGAGGAACACCAGUGGCGAAGGCGGCUCUCUGGUCUGUAACGGACGCUGAGGCGCGAAAGCGUGGGGAGCAAACAGGAUUAGAUACCCUGGUAGUCCACGCCGUAAACGAUGAGUGCUAAGUGUUGGAGGGUUUCCGCCCUUCAGUGCUGCAGCUAACGCAUUAAGCACUCCGCCUGGGGAGUACGACCGCAAGGUUGAAACUCAAAGGAAUUGACGGGGGCCCGCACAAGCGGUGGAGCAUGUGGUUUAAUUCGAAGCAACGCGAAGAACCUUACCAGGUCUUGACAUCCUUUGACCACUCUAGAGAUAGAGCUUCCCCUUCGGGGGCAAAGUGACAGGUGGUGCAUGGUUGUCGUCAGCUCGUGUCGUGAGAUGUUGGGUUAAGUCCCGCAACGAGCGCAACCCUUAUUGUUAGUUGCCAUCAUUUAGUUGGGCACUCUAGCAAGACUGCCGGUGACAAACCGGAGGAAGGUGGGGAUGACGUCAAAUCAUCAUGCCCCUUAUGACCUGGGCUACACACGUGCUACAAUGGGAAGUACAACGAGUCGCAAAGUCGCGAGGCUAAGCUAAUCUCUUAAAGCUUCUCUCAGUUCGGAUUGUAGGCUGCAACUCGCCUACAUGAAGCCGGAAUCGCUAGUAAUCGCGGAUCAGCACGCCGCGGUGAAUACGUUCCCGGGCCUUGUACACACCGCCCGUCACACCACGAGAGUUUGUAACACCCGAAGUCGGUGAGGUAACCUUUUGGAGCCAGCCGCCUAAGGUGGGAUAGAUGAUUGGGGUG